AGGUUCCAGUAGAGGAGUCGUGCCUCCUUGAUUCCUUCACCGAGAUCAUCCAUUUACUCAACAACAGCUUCCAGCUUGCAAGACUAUACUUGCGACUCAGACAGUCAUUCUUGUACUUCUGUUUAU